rnacentral:hammerhead_ribozyme from 1 species
GCACUGCUGACGAGUCCCAAAUUGGACGAAACAGAUGUCCAGUGC